rnacentral:tRNA from 1 species
GGGAUCUUAGCUCAGCCGGGAGAGCAUCUGCCUUACAAGCAGAGGGUCACAGGUUCGAACCCUGUAGGUCCCA